rnacentral:antisense_RNA from 1 species
AUGCAGCCGGCACGCGCCUCUCCUCCGACGGGAACCGAAGGAGCCGGUAGGUUUUCACACUUGCAGCAGAUCGGCUGAGAGAAUGCGGGAUUCAGCCGAGAAGCCACGGGGAGCCCGAGGAGCGGAGCAGAGGCACCCAGGCAGCCUGCGCGGAGAAAUCGGAUCGGCGGGGACGGCCUGCAGCUCCCGCGCGCGGGGAAAGGGAAGAAGUCCUCCCCUACAAAGCGAGUUCACAAACUUGGAAGAAGCAAUUUACACAGGGUGCGCAGAUCUCAACGGAAGGACACAGAAAACAUGAAAAAGCAAGGAAAUGGGGCGCCUCCAAAGGAACCCAGUAAUUCUCCAGCAACAGAUCCCCAUCCAAAAAAAACAGAAGAUAUUUUGGAGAGAGAAUUGAACAUACAUAUUAUACAGUUGAUCUGAAGCUGAAGAAAUCACUGGAUGAAAUACAAAGUAAACUCAAAAGCUUCAAUGAUAGACUAGAACGAGUAGAAGAAAGACUCAAAACUUGAAAUCUGAAGCAUGUUUCUUAAAGAUUUAAAGGGUUAUUAUACUCUGGCCAUUAAUGUGAAUGAAAUCUGCUGGG